rnacentral:rRNA from 1 species
AUUGAACGCUGGCGGCAUGCCUUACACAUGCAAGUCGAACGGCAGCAUGAUCUAGCUUGCUAGAUUGAUGGCGAGUGGCGGACGGGUGAGUCAUACAUCGGAACGUGCCCUGUAGUGGGGGAUAACUAGUCGAAAGAUUAGCUAAUACCGCAUACGACCUGAGGGUGAAAGUGGGGGAGCGCAAGGCCUCAUGCUAUAGGAGCGGCCGAUGUCUGAUUAGCUAGUUGGUGGGGUAAAGGCCCACCAAGGCGACGAUCAGUAGCUGGUCUGAGAGGGCGAUCGGCCACACUGGGACUUAGACACGGCCCAUACUCCUACGGGAGGCAGCAGUGGGGAAUUUUGGACAAUGGGGGCAACCCUGAUCCAGCAAUGCCGCGUGUGUGAAGAAGGCCUUCGGGUUGUAAAGCACUUUUGUCCGGAAAGAAAUCGCACUUACUAAUAUUAGGUGUGGAUGACGGUACCGGAAGAAUAAGGACCGGCUAACUACGUG